AGAGUUUGAUCCUGGCUCAGAUUGAACGCUGGCGGCAGGCCUAACACAUGCAAGUCGAGCGGUAGCACAGAGAGCUUGCUCUCGGGUGACGAGCGGCGGACGGGUGAGUAAUGUCUGGGAAACUGCCUGAUGGAGGGGGAUAACUACUGGAAACGGUAGCUAAUACCGCAUAAUGUCGCAAGACCAAAGUGGGGGACCUUCGGGCCUCAUGCCAUCAGAUGUGCCCAGAUGGGAUUAGCUAGUAGGUGGGGUAACGGCUCACCUAGGCGACGAUCCCUAGCUGGUCUGAGAGGAUGACCAGCCACACUGGAACUGAGACACGGUCCAGACUCCUACGGGAGGCAGCAGUGGGGAAUAUUGCACAAUGGGCGCAAGCCUGAUGCAGCCAUGCCGCGUGUGUGAAGAAGGCCUUCGGGUUGUAAAGCACUUUCAGCGGGGAGGAAGGCGGUGAGGUUAAUAACCUCAUCGAUUGACGUUACCCGCAGAAGAAGCACCGGCUAACUCCGUGCCAGCAGCCGCGGUAAUACGGAGGGUGCAAGCGUUAAUCGGAAUUACUGGGCGUAAAGCGCACGCAGGCGGUCUGUCAAGUCGGAUGUGAAAUCCCCGGGCUCAACCUGGGAACUGCAUUCGAAACUGGCAGGCUAGAGUCUUGUAGAGGGGGGUAGAAUUCCAGGUGUAGCGGUGAAAUGCGUAGAGAUCUGGAGGAAUACCGGUGGCGAAGGCGGCCCCCUGGACAAAGACUGACGCUCAGGUGCGAAAGCGUGGGGAGCAAACAGGAUUAGAUACCCUGGUAGUCCACGCCGUAAACGAUGUCGAUUUGGAGGUUGUGCCCUUGAGGCGUGGCUUCCGGAGCUAACGCGUUAAAUCGACCGCCUGGGGAGUACGGCCGCAAGGUUAAAACUCAAAUGAAUUGACGGGGGCCCGCACAAGCGGUGGAGCAUGUGGUUUAAUUCGAUGCAACGCGAAGAACCUUACCUGGUCUUGACAUCCACAGAACUUUCCAGAGAUGGAUUGGUGCCUUCGGGAACUGUGAGACAGGUGCUGCAUGGCUGUCGUCAGCUCGUGUUGUGAAAUGUUGGGUUAAGUCCCGCAACGAGCGCAACCCUUAUCCUUUGUUGCCAGCGGUUAGGCCGGGAACUCAAAGGAGACUGCCAGUGAUAAACUGGAGGAAGGUGGGGAUGACGUCAAGUCAUCAUGGCCCUUACGACCAGGGCUACACACGUGCUACAAUGGCAUAUACAAAGAGAAGCGACCUCGCGAGAGCAAGCGGACCUCAUAAAGUAUGUCGUAGUCCGGAUUGGAGUCUGCAACUCGACUCCAUGAAGUCGGAAUCGCUAGUAAUCGUAGAUCAGAAUGCUACGGUGAAUACGUUCCCGGGCCUUGUACACACCGCCCGUCACACCAUGGGAGUGGGUUGCAAAAGAAGUAGGUAGCUUAACCUUCGGGAGGGCGCUUACCACUUUGUGAUUCAUGACUGGGGUGAAGUCGUAACAAGGUAACC
rnacentral:rRNA from 1 species